UUCCCUUCCAUACCCCGACCCCGGAAGCAGCUUCAAGCCACUCUGUGUUACAACCAACAGUCCUUGCUUCUGUUAGCACUAGUGGACCCCGGUGCAGAGGGAAACUUCUUGGGUUAAAACUUAGCCUUCCAAGCUGGAAUUCCUCGUGAGCCAUUGUGUACCCACUGGACACCCGGGCACUGGACGGUAGACUACUGGCCCAAGUCACGCACUGCACGGAACCCCAGCUUCUCCUUCUCUCCAGAAACCAUCGGGAACAGCUCUUAGUAAAACUCAGUGAACUGGUCAUUCUGGGUCUGCGUCUCUCCUUCUGCACUUGAGUCAUCACUGAACUCUGUGUCAAACACAUUUGCCAACCAUUUUGUCCACCUUCUUGGGCCUUUGCUGGUAAUCUAACUGGACAUCAGCAGGUGAUGCAAUACAAGUUUAGAGCACCAAAAGAAGUGUCUGCUGAUGCCCUCAGAGAAGCCACAAUUCUUGACCGUCUUUAAGAAAGAAGACAAGCCUCAGUGAACAUAAGAAAAACUGCACAUACUAUAAAUCUGAAACAAAAACAGGAAAUGACUGAAAUACUCAGUAAAUCGGAGAGCACCCAUGGUAAGAAAAGUGAAGUUAACAGAACUUUCUCCUUGACCUGACAGACAAAUUUACAGAUGGGUCACCUUGCUGUCUGUCACAUGGAAAGCCAUCGCUAAGAUCCUUCUUGGUGGCUGAAGAGUUAUUCCUCAACUUGCAGUUUGGAUACGGUCCAUCAAGAAGCAUAGGAAACAUGACCUUCUUUGUGCUGGGAACAGUGUCAACCAUUAUAUGUAUGUAGACUUCUCUGACCAUACAAGAGCCUUUUACUCUGCCAGCUGAGAGGGUUGUUCUUAAAUUUGGCUGCACCUAAAGCUCAUCUUUAUUCUACAUGAUGGAAUACAAACCGAGUCUAAACAGUGAGUCCAUCAAGAUCAAAAUUAUAACCAAAGUCAAAACUAUAGUGCAGAUUAGGGUGAAGAAAGGUUGCAUCAUUGCCCCAAACUUUUUCCAAAUUUUCCCCAACUUUGGCCACCCAGCCAUCCUAGUACCACAGAACAAGAGGGGAAAUGAACUGUUCUGAAGACUGACUGAGGGCUUGGCAAGUCUGAGGUUGAUUUGCCCUAAGAUAACUGUACUCAGCCCCAGAUAUACUUGGUAACAAGUCUUGAGACCAUUCGAGUUCUUCCAAGUCAAACAUCAGCCUAAUCUAUAAUUAAAUUUUUAUUUUGUCACUGUCAAUAGGUCAAACACUGGAAAUUAUAAAAACACUUAAAUGGCUAUUUUUGCCAUGGAUGCAGCAGUGAUUCAAGGAGGCAGCUUAUCAUCACCAUCUCUAGAAUAAUUCAACAGAAAUAAAUGCAAGGGACAGUGAUGUCCCAUAAAUGGAAUUUAACCUAAAGCUCCAAUGUUGGGACUGUUUCUCUUUAUGACCUGAAUUUGGUGUAGUAAGAACAACUUAAAUACUUAUCAUGACAAACCCUUGGAAAUAUAGCAACCAGCUGGCUCUGCUGGAUUAUGUAUCGCAUUGAACUGCUGCUGCUGUUAACAAAUUUCACGUCACAUGCCAGUGAUAAUAAACCUGAUUCUGAUACUGAGAACAAUAAUGGACAUCUGAAGUCAUAGACUCAUGAAAUGGGCAGACACAUGGUAGGUGAAAUUUAUUGCAAAUAAAUGAAAAGUGAUCAGAUUGAAAAAGGAGCGGCAAUAUAUAUAAAUUAAAUGAUACAAUUUUAACACCAGGGGCAGUGGCGAGGAUAAAUAAACAGUCCUAAGGAUUCACACAAUCAUGUCCUUGAAGAAAGCAGAAGUUCAUAGAAAAAUAAGAGAUGCUUUACUUUACAUUGUCAGUAAUGUGUAGCAAAAUUUCAUUUGUCUCUAAUAUAUAUUCUCAAAUAUAUGUCAUUAUAAAGACAGUUGUCGAUUUAAUUUAUAUUGUGGACCAUUGAUUUACA